UACGUAGGGUGCGAGCGUUGUCCGGAAUUACUGGGCGUAAAGAGCUCGUAGGCGGUGUGUCGCGUCGGCCGUGAAAACCUGGGGCUCAACUCUGGGCGUGCGGUCGAUACGGGCAUCACUUGAGUUCGGCAGGGGAGACUGGAAUUCCUGGUGUAGCGGUGAAAUGCGCAGAUAUCAGGAGGAACACCGGUGGCGAAGGCGGGGUCUCUGGGCCGAUACUGACGCUGAGGAGCGAAAGCAUGGGUAGCGAACAGG
rnacentral:rRNA from 1 species